GAUGAACGCUGGCGGCGUGCCUAAUACAUGCAAGUCGAGCGAGCGGCGGACGGGUGAGUAAUGUAUGGGAAACUGCCUGAUGGAGGGGGAUAACUACUGGAAACGGUAGCUAAUAACGCAUACCAUCAGAUGUGCCCCGAUGGGAUUAGCUAGUGGGUGGGGUAAUGGCUCAACUAGGCGACUAACCCGAGCUGGUAUGAGAGGAUGACCAGCCACACUGGAACUGAGACACGGUCCAGACUCCUACGGGAGGCAGCAGAUGGUAAUAUUGCACAAUGGGCGCAAGCCUGAUGCAGCCAUGCCGCGUGUAUGAAGAAGGCCUUCGGGUUGUAAAGUACUUUCAGCGGUGAGGCGUUACCCGCAGAAGAAGCACCGGCUAACUCCGUGCCAGCAGCCGCGGUAAUUC
rnacentral:rRNA from 1 species